AUUUGAUGCUGUGGGCAUCUAGUGCACAAUUUAUUGAACCUUUUCCAAUAAUCAUAUAAAAACUCCCCAGGGUACUGCUUGAUGCUGUUUAUCUCUUUCCUCAGACU